rnacentral:rRNA from 1 species
UACGUAGGGUGCAGGCGUUAAUCGGAAUUACUGGGCGUAAAGCGUGCGCAGGCGGUUUGCUAAGACAGAUGUGAAAUCCCCGGGCUCAACCUGGGAACUGCAUUUGUGACUGCAUCGCUGGAGUGCGGCAGAGGGGGAUGGAAUUCCGCGUGUAGCAGUGAAAUGCGUAGAUAUGCGGAGGAACACCGAUGGCGAAGGCAAUCCCCUGGGCCUGCACUGACGCUCAUGCACGAAAGCGUGGGGAGCAAACAGG